CCUACGGGAGGCAGCAGUGGGGAAUAUUGCGCAAUGGACGAAAGUCUGACGCAGCGACGCCGCGUGGAGGACGAAGCCCUUCGGGGUGUAAACUCCUUUCGACGGGGACGAAACUCUCGCAAGAGAUUGACGGUACCCGUAUAAGAAGCCCCGGCUAACUACGUGCCAGCAGCCGCGGUAAU
rnacentral:rRNA from 1 species